GUCUCUGUGGCGUAAUUGGACAGCACGUUCGGCUGUUAACCAAAAGGUUGGUGGUUCGAGCCCACCCAGGGACA